UGGUGGGUAGUUUGACUGGGGCGGUCUCCUCCCAAAGAGUAACGGAGGAGCACGAAGGUUAGCUAAUCCUGGUCGGACAUCAGGAGGUUAGUGCAAUGGCAUAAGCUAGCUUGACUGCGAGAGUGACGGCUCGAGCAGGUGCGAAAGCAGGUCAUAGUGAUCCGGUGGUUCUGAAUGGAAGGGCCAUCGCUCAACGGAUAAAAGGUACUCCGGGGAUAACAGGCUGAUACCGCCCAAGAGUUCAUAUCGACGGCGGUGUUUGGCACCUCGAUGUCGGCUCAUCACAUCCUGGGGCUGAAGUAGGUCCCAAGGGUAUGGCUGUUCGCCAUUUAAAGUGGUACGCGAGCUGGGUUUAGAACGUCGUGAGACAGUUCGGUCCCUAUCUGCCGUGGGCGCUGGAGAAUUGAGGGGGGCUGCUCCUAGUACGAGAGGACCGGAGUGGACGCAUCACUGGUGUUCGGGUUGUCAUGCCAAUGGCACUGCCCGGUAGCUAAAUGCGGAAGAGAUAAGUGCUGAAAGCAUCUAAGCACGAAACUUGCC
rnacentral:rRNA from 2 species